UAUCCGUCGUGCCUUUUCUGUGGCUGAUAUUGAGCCGCGGGAGAGGGAGGGAUCCCCUUUAUGGGUGAGGACGAUGGAGUGGCAACGCGAUGCGACCCGUCUUGAAACACGGACCAAGGAGUCUAACAUGUUUGCGAGUUGAAGGGUAGUAAACCUGGAGGCGCAGUGAAAGCGAACUUCUAAAACGGACAGUUUGUGGCGGCAUAAAAUCGUUGAUUUUAGGUCUGACUAAGAGCAAAUAUGUUAGGACCCGAAAGAUGGUGAACUAUGCUUGAGUAGGCCGAAGGCAGAAGAAAUUCUGCUGGAGGGCCGAAGCGGUGCUGACGUGCAAAUCGCUCGUCGAACUCGAGUAUAGGGGCGA
rnacentral:rRNA from 1 species